UAAAAUGUAUUCUGUCAGUUGAGAAAAAAAGUAUAACAACUAAAAAAAUUCCUAUUGGCUGAUUCACAAACACAAGGAUCAAGCUUUUCACCGUCGGAUGAGAUUGGAUCCAAGGGACCAAAGUUAUUCCUUUUCUUCAGAUCUCCAUACAUAGCUUUCUUCACUGCUGGCCUCCGCAUCUCCUCUCUUCUCUUUUGUCAGAAGAUCUCUCCACCCUCGCAAGAUCUCUGCCUUCAUCGCUCUCCAUCUUCUCUACCACCUCCGUUAAUGGUCGUUUAUUAUAAAUUUUACUUCCAUCAUCUCUCUUCUGCGUGACUUUGACUUUGGUGCAGGUUGAAGAAUUGAAUGAGUGGUAUCUCUGUCUUCCAUCAUUUGAUGUCACGCUCACCGUUCACCACCACUCCACGGAGGGUGGAGGAUGCAGAAAAAGCUUGAUGGUGGAGGAUGCAGAAGAAGCUUGAUGGUGGAGGAGACAAGACCAGCCGUGGUCGCAGUGGCUGUUGUGCGGCGGAGGCAAGGCCACACAUGGCGGCUAGAGGAGGCAAGGCGAGGCAGGCAUGGCCGCUUAUUUUUUUAGGGUUGAAUUUUUUUUAAUGAUUUGGUUUAGUUAUCUAAACCUAAUUUUAUUUUAAACCAAUUUCAUUUUGUAAACCGAGUUAUUUUUAUUUCGAUUUAUAGAGUAACCAAUUGAAACUGA